GCAACAUAAAACAGAUUAAGACCGAAGUCCAGCCAGAAUGAAGGUCUUGAGGUAGGAAAGAACAUGGCCAAGUUCACACAACUGGAAGAAAGUCAGUGAGGCUGGAGCAAACAAAGGAAGCAGAGAGUUACAAGACAGACAGUUGUCUCCUGGCCUGUUAAAUGUGUCCAUGACUACACAGAAAUUCCUGCCUAUUGCCUGCUUUCCUGAUGGAGAAGUUCAUGAUCUGCAAUAAUCAUCAGUGAACUGCA
rnacentral:lncRNA from 10 species